UGCUCUAAAGUAUUCGAAUGGAAAAACUAACUUAAAAGACACUACAUAAACUAUGCACUGGUGGAACUAUUCAUAAGACCAGAGCAAAUAUACAAUCAGCUAGCUGAAGUCAUUUCGAAAUAUAGAGAAUGGCUAUAGAUUCGGGUCUUAGAUCAACGUUGUUGCCACUUUUCCUCCUCGCCAUGGUCCUCUCUCCAGCAUUGCCAGCUGAGGCAGCUCGACUCCCUCAUCGAGAGCUGCUUGGAGGAGGAGCACUAUGUGUUGCUUGUGUAUGCUGUACUCGACCACCACCAGGAAAGUGCUGUGCCAAGUGUUGCGCCUCUCCUAUAGUUGAUCAAUCUCGAACUGCUUCUCCAUGAGAUUCAUCGAUAAAUAUAUGAUCAAAUAGUGAUGUUCUGAAGCUGGUCAAUGAAUGAUCUUACAUGUCUAAAACUAUCUUAUGGUUCAUGUAUUAAUAAUAUGGAUGUAAAUUCCUCUGUUGUGGGUGUUGCUGUUUUCUCACUACUGUUAUCAGUUUGAAGUUUGGAAAAUUAUUCAUUUGGUUGUUUGAUGGUGAGCUUCCCAUCUCUGCACGUGCUUAUGUUAACUUCUUUUUCUUCUAAUAUAAUUAUUCUUUAUCUU